ACAACCUGUAAAACAACAAAAACAAUAUAUGACAGGUUUUUAAGUAUGGCAGUUAUUAUAUUAGACUUUAAAAAGCAUGGUUGCACCAAAAAAAAGAAGAAGAAAAUGACUUCCACAGAGCACGAUAAUCCAGUGAGGUAAACAGGAAGUCUUGCGUUUGUUGUGGCAUGACAAGUCAAAUGUUUUCAUAGAAGUAUACAGUAUAUAAUUAUAGGAGAUGCCUGGGUGUCUUGACUGUCAGAGUCAUGCUCUGUUCCCUCCCUUUUUUUUUUUUUUUUUUUUUAAAAAAGGUCUGUGUCCCAACCGGCAGCGUCAGAUGGCCACCCACCAAGAGCCAGGUUCGCACCAAGUUUCUGC